GAAUAAAUAAAUUUUUUAUAUUUUUUAUAUUUUAUUAUAAAUUUAUUUUACAUGUAAAUUUUAGUAUAAAAUUUUAAUUAUUUUAAUAAUAAUUAAUUUAAAUAUACAGUAAUUAAAAUUAAAAAUUUAAGAAAUUAAGAUUUAGUAAUAUUUAAAUUAAUAACUAAUUUUGUGCCAGCAGUUGCGGUUAAACAAAAAUUAAAUUAAAUUAUUUCAGUAUAUAAUAAAUAAUAAAUAAUUAAAUUAAAUAUUAAAUUAUUAAGUGAAAUUUUAAUUUAAUUAAAAAUUAUAAUAAAAUUAUGAUUUAAUAAAUUUUAUUUUAAACUAGGAUUAGAUACCCUAUUAUUAAAAAUUUAAUUAAAAAUACUAAAAUAGUAAAUAAAAUAUUAUUGAAACUUAAAUAAUAUGGCGGUAUUUUAGUUCAUUUAGAGGAAUCUGUCUAAUAAUUGAUAAUCCACGAAUAAAUUUACUUAAUUUAUAAUUUUGUAUAUCAUUGUUAAAAAAAUAUUUUUUAAUAAAAAUAAUAUUUUAAAAUUUAAAAUAAAAUUUAAUUCAGAUCAAGAUGCAGAUUAUAAUUAAGUUUAAGAUGGAUUACAAUAAAAAUAUUUAAGUGGAAAGAAUUUUGUAAAAUUUAAUUGAAAAUGGAUUUAAAUGUAAUUUUAAUUAGUUUAUUAAAAUGAUUAAAAAUUGAAAUAUGUACAUAUUGCCCGUCACUUUCAUUUAAAAAUUGAAAUAAGUCGUAACAAAGUAGAGGUACUGGAAAGUGUUUCUAGAAUGAU
rnacentral:ncRNA from 1 species